GACGUUCAAAAAAAGGGAAGUGAAGGAAAUAUAGACUAACACACAAGCAAUGAGUGUCGAUCCGAUUGUCCUAAAGAACAACUGGAACAAGGUUCGACAUCUUCUAUUUGGAUGGUAGUUGCUAUAGUUCUCUUCAAGGAGAGGUUCCUCUCAAUCUUGCUAGUAAGUUGGGUAGUUUUGUUUCCUAUCUUUCUUCCAUUUCAUAUUGUACCAAAAUGUCCCAAGGUUCGUACAUAGUAGGAGGAAUUGCACAUGAAAGUAAUGUACUACAUACAUAUAAGGAGAUAUUGUACACAAAGGUAACACACUAUAGAAUAUAGGUGCAUAAAGGGAAAAUUGCAAAAACUAGUGAUAGAUAGCGUUUAAUAUCUCUAUCUUGAAGAUGCAUAUAAUCAUUACAUUUCAUACGAUUUACCCUAAUUAUGAUUUUAAGUAGGCUGAGAUAAAAGCUAUCUUGUUGUGUAUACGAAAUUAACACCUUUUAUUUUUUUUUAUACGCGUAAGUAAUUUAAAAAAAAAGAGAUUAUAAGUAUGUAAUAAAGACAAGUCUAGCUCUGAUAUUAAUUUAUCAAUAACUAAAAAUAAUCGAAAUUAAAAAAUCUGGUAAUUUAUCAAUCCAUAAACAUUGUAAAAUCAAAACUCCAAAAAAAUAUCUUGUUGCUAAAACAACUUGUAAAAUUAUAUAUAAUCAUGUAAAUUAUAUAGAUGAUAGACUAUAAUAGACAUUCUCCAGUCUCCACAUAUACAUUUACAACGCAUGCGACAUCGUAUUGGUCGUGUAAUCAUCGUUGACAUUUUGUUGGAUCCAUGAUAUGUUGUCCUGUGAGUCAAAUUGAACUUUUGACUUUUGAGAUGAGUUAGCCAAUUAUAAAUGAAAUUGGUUUUUUCAUAUUUAAUAUAAAGUAUAUUUGAAAAGAUAUUCUCCAUCGUUUAAGAUGUUAUAUUAUAUACCUUUGAAGUUUUAAUUUUAUAACUAUACUAGUAUUUACGACCCGCGCUUUGCGGCGGGACUGUUAAACCGAACAAAUAGUAGACGUAAAAACGUUGAACCAUACACGCGCGUUCCAACGUAUUAACUUGCAAAAAUUAAACUGAAACAUAAAACAUCGAAAAGAAAAACUAAGUUGACAUAGCACCCCGUGCAUUGCGAUAGAGCCGUUAAACUGCAAAACAAAAUAAUGUAAAAACUUUGUACCACACUCGCGCGUUGGGGGUGUUAAUUUGUAAAAUUUAGACCCAAAAGUAAAACGACGAAUUUUUAAAAGAUGAAAAGUGAACAAAGUUGAAAAUAAAAAAGUAUUGGAUAAAAAAACUUGUGACAAAAAUAAAAAAGACAAAAAGGUAUAGGUCAAAAAAGUGUAAAAUAUUGAAUUACACCUCUUAGUUACAAACCAAAAAUUGGUAAAAAGAGGAAUAUAUGAACUAAUGGUUCAAUGGACCAAUAAACAAAAAGAAAAAUGAAUUGUGCAUUAGUUAGUUGUACACAUUGCUUUUAUCUACAUAUACAUAUAUAAAUGAGAUGGAUUUGGGCUAUGUGGCCUUUGUAUUUGGCCAUCUAGGCUGAUGUGGCAAUUUGGUUUAGGAGGGAAAUCCCAUUUUGCUUUCUACAAUCACGAUUCCAAGUAAAAAGAGGCGGGAUCCGAAUUGAGUUGGGUCGGGUUUUUCGAAUUCGGGUCAUAGUAUAUAUUUCCUUUUUUUUCUCAUUCUUCUUGCACACACUUUACAAACCCUAAAAAACUAAGUUGCAUCCUCUCUCCUAUCACCACCACCAAGAUCCUCAAUUCUAAACCAUAGCCAAACCUCUGCAACAUCAUCUUCUUCACACAAAUCAAUCCUAUUAACCAAUCAAAGGUAUGUUUCUAUGUUUUUGAUUUUAUUGUUUCUGAUUUCAUUGUUUUACGAUUGUAAUCUACACAAUCGAUCCUAAAUCUGCUUUAUUUAUGUUAUUCAAUUCUAUAGAAACUUGAUUUUAUAAAGAUUGUGUCGAAUGCAUUUAAUUUCUUCUUUGUCCUAAACUUUGUAGAUCUGAUCAUAAAAAUUGAAGGUAUGUUGUUUUAAUUUGUUGUUUAUCUAUUGUGUAUCUUUAAUCAAGCGAUUGAACAUUUAUCUUUUUGUUUUUUUGCAAACAAAAUCAAGAUCAAAGGUUUUAUUAUCAUCAUCUACAUUUAUCAAAGUUACUGAUUUUUGUUGAUUUUGUUUUUCAUGUGGAACCCUAAAUCUUGGAUAAAAUCGGACUCCGAUCAUUCGUGAAACAACAGAAGUUAGUUAAAUGUUAUAGUUGUUUUCUUUUUUUUAAGUUUGUGUAGAUUUGAUUUUAACCUUUCUGUUCGGUAUUUUUUUUUUCAAAAAUUAAAAACAUAUGUUCUGAAUGUUUUAUGGUUUGUUUUUCUAAUGGUAAACCCUCAAUCUUUUGUGACAAUUGGACUCGAAUUGUUCGUCGACUAAAACAGUUUUCUAUUUGCAAUUGAGGUUUUGUUUUGAUCAAAGUUGAGUUAUGCAGGUAAAUGGGGGAUAUCUACAAAUUUUGAUGGUACACGGCUUUUCAUUAACGACAAUUUUGAUCAGAUGCUGACAUUCAAGGAAAAAAUCUUAAUACAAUGUUGGGUCGAAGAUGCUGGAGAAUGAACUUAAGCGUAAUUUGGAUGCCGUUUAUGAUGUGGAUUUAUGUUCUUCUCAGUCUUCCACUAAACCGCGUAUGGGUGAUUGUGAGAACAAUGAAGGUUUGUAUUUGAAAGCAAAGCUGGAAAAGUAGUCUCAGGAUUUAAUAGUCAUUUCAGAUUUUUCAAAGAUUUUCUGAUGUUUUAUUUUGUUUAAUCUUUGUCGGAACAUUUAUUUCAGUACUUGAUGUUGGGUUUGAUAUUGAUUU
rnacentral:lncRNA from 1 species